CCUACGGGAGGCAGCAGUGAGGAAUAUUGGUCAAUGGCCGGAAGGCUGAACCAGCCAUGCCGCGUGAAGGUCAGUGCCCUAUGGGCGUUAAACUUCUUUUGUGCGGGAGCAAUAAUGGUCACGUGUGGCCAGACGAGAGUACCGUACGAAUAAGCAUCGGCUAACUCCGUGCCAGCAGCCGCGGUAAUACGGGGGAUGCAAGCGUUAUCCGGUUUUAUUGGGUUUAAAGGGUGCGUAGGCUGUGAGGUAAGUCAGCGGUGAAAUGCCCCCGCUCAACGGGGUGAAGUGCCAUUGAUACUGCCUGGCUGGAAUGCGGAUGCGGUGGGAGGAAUGUGUGGUGUAGCGGUGAAAUGCAUAGAUAUCACACAGAACACCGAUUGCGAAGGCAUCUCACGAAUCCGCGAUUGACGCUGAUGCACGAAAGCGUGGGUAUCAAACAGGAUUAGAUACCCCUGUAGUC
rnacentral:rRNA from 1 species